GGGGCGACGCUCGAGUGCCGGGCUCCUGCGGAGGCGAAGAUUAAAUUUGUACCAGCAUCAUCAGAUUGAUGAUUUGCUAAUUGUCAAUCAAAAGAACCCUGGACCAUGUAUCAGGAGAACUGGGUUCUAAUCUUACUUUGCCAGAGAUAUGUUCCUGGUGUUGAGCAAUUCAUCAGAUCAAAUGUCCUACCCGUAAAGCUUCAGUUUCUGUAUCACAGGUGAGGAGGGGGGAAUGAGAGCUUCUGUUCUUCUGUGCAGAGUUAAGAGAGAGUCGUCGUCCAUCCUUGUGAAAGUAGGAAAAAACUUUCGCUCCACAGGCCUGCUGGACUUUCAUGCACAUUUGAAAUAAUUAGAGGAAAACUACCAAGUUUCUUGCUUUUUUUUGGUACCUGGGAUCAAACUCAGGACCUUGCGCUUGAGAGUCAGGAGUGGAGCCACUGAGCUAAAUCCCCAGCCCUCCAAAUUUCUUGCUUUUAAAGACAAUUCUCAAGUGAUUCUUUUUUGAGGUUAGGAAUAAUUAAGGCAAAGUAGAGAAACAUUGCACAAGUUUUUAGUUUUAAAAAGCAUUGUGGUCUGUAACUGUUUUGUCUCUUGUGGUUCCAGGGAACCAAGACCUCCUCAGUUUAUCAUUUCUUUUUUCAUAGAUAAAAUGUAAAACUGGUUAAAAAAC
rnacentral:lncRNA from 1 species